GGGGUUGUUACGGAUUCGACAGGCAUAGAUUGAGCUUGGGUUGCGUUUUGCAGGUGACGGCUGCGCAUCAACGUCAACAGUUAAACUAACUGCAAACAAUAACAAUAACUCUUACGCUUUAGCUGCGUAAUAACAGCUUAGCGUGAUCCGACCGGCAUCGCCCAUGUGCUCGGCACCGGGUCCUAUAUUAAGUGGGAUACGUCUGUUCCUCCCGUCUGCAGGAACAGAAAGAGAUUAUCAGACUAGCGGCGCAUGAUGCCUGUUUUACGGCUAAUGCUUAGCGAAUUUAAGUAGUAAGACUAUGAACGUAGAUACUUGAGUGGCAAUGUGUCUGGACAGGGGUUCGACUCCCCUCAACUCCAUAU
rnacentral:tmRNA from 1 species